CAGCACUAGUCCUGGGACUCUGAAAUACUCCAGAUAAGCAUUCUUUGAAAAAAUUACACAGUGGUUCAAGCCUCGAAGUUUCUUAACAGCUUGAAACAGUUAAAACCACCCAUGCUGAUAACAUUUGUGAAUUCAGGACACUGUCUUUAGUACAAAGCUAAGACACAAACUUGUAGGAGGACUUUGAACAAUGAGAUGGCCAUGUGGAGGUACCUGUUUACGCACCCCAACGCAUGGUUUUUUGUUUGGGCCAAUCCGAUGCGCCCGCACAGAUCCUGGUGGUUUCAGAUGAAGUCACAUGUCAAACCUGCUGUCA